rnacentral:rRNA from 1 species
GACAGAGGUGGCAAGCGUUGUUCGGAUUUACUGGGCGUAAAGAGAGCGUAGGCGGCCGUGUAUGUCGGGUGUGAAAUCUCUCGGCUUAACCGAGAAACUGCAUUCGAAACUGCACGGCUAGAGGACAGGAGGGGGAAGUGGAAUUCCAGGUGUAGCGGUGAAAUGCGUAGAUAUCUGGAGGAACACCGGUGGCGAAGGCGGCAUCCUGGACCGACACUGACGCUGAGGAGCGAAAGCCAGGGGAGCAAACGGG